UUUAAGGUUGCUAAUUUUAUAAGAUGAAGAACUUUUUAUUUUCCCAAAUGUAUCACCAUUACAAAGAAAAAAAAAAAAACACUGAUGAAGGGUGAUAGAUGCCCAGGCUGGUGCCUGAAUACACAAAGCAGUACACUCUGAGGUCACUGACCAAGCUGUUGUGACAUCAGCAAGAGAUGGCUGUGACCUCACUGACACUCACUGUACAAAUCCAGGUUCCAACAGAGUUUCAUGUGGACUUAUGCCUGGACUCCAGUUGAGCACAACUGUGAGACUUGGAGCACUGAACAUGUUGGGUUGCACUGUGGGGCUGCUUGCAGUUCUUGGUGCCUAUCCCACAGCAUCACCAGCAUCUCACCAGCCUUUCCUGGCUCACAUACACACAAAAACAUGGCACGGGAGAGAAAAAUCGUGAUGUUUUGAAACUCCAGGAGAGCCAGCAGACCAUUAGAAUUCUUCAUGUCACAAAAGAUCAGCCAAGAAACAUUCAGCUAAUGCCUAGAUCACCUGUUUUCUGCCUCCCCUCAGAUAAAUUCUUCUCACUAAACCCUCCAGAUGAACACAGCUAUAUCCAAUGCAAAGACAGUUACCAAACUAGAUGCAGGUAAUCACACUUUCCUCUUUUUCUGCAAAUAAUUAUGUCAUAUUUCCCCACGCCUUAAUUCUACUCUUGUUUUCAGAGGCUUGUAUUUUGCUGAACUUCACUGUCUGGAAAGGCAAAAGAUAUCUAGCAACGUUAAAUUAAUUCAUAGAUACUGAACACUAAGUUUUCAUGUCCUAAAUGACAGAGACCUACAAGAUGACAAUUUUUAAUUUUCAGGUCUCAGAUAACUUUUGCUUUGAAGUAGAAGGAGGUCAGAGAGGGCAUUCUCUGGAGCUCAAAGCUAUCUGAUGACUGAGAUAAUUAGCAAAAAACUAAAUACAUUGGGAGGUUAAUCAUAGCGGCAUCCCAGCUCUUCACCUGAUCUAAUGCUAUACUUAAUAAAUUUCUCUUAUGGCACCA
rnacentral:lncRNA from 1 species